ensembl:snRNA U6 U6 spliceosomal RNA
GCUCACGUCAGCAGAGCAUAUACUAAAGUUGGAACAAUACAGAGAAGAUUAGCAUGACCCCUGUGCAGGAAUAGUUGUAGAGUUUCUAACUUGUAACAUAGCAGUUAUUU